GGUGCUGUGGUCUAGUGGUAUGACGUCACGUUGUGGCCGUGCCGGCCCCGGUUCGAUUCCGGGCAGCGCCA
rnacentral:tRNA from 1 species